rnacentral:rRNA from 1 species
UACGAAGGGGGCUAGCGUUGCUCGGAAUCACUGGGCGUAAAGCGCACGUAGGCGGGUUCUUAAGUCAGGGGUGAAAUCCUGGAGCUCAACUCCAGAACUGCCUUCGAUACUGGAAGACUCGAGUCCGGGGGAGGUGAGUGGAACUGCGAGUGUAGAGGUGAAAUUCGUAGAUAUUCGGAGGAACACCAGUGGCGAAGGCGGCUCACUGGCUCGAUACUGACGCUGAGGUGCGAAAGCGUGGGGAGCAAACAGG